rnacentral:rRNA from 1 species
UAAAGUUAUUUUUUAAGCAUUAAAAGGAUGUCUAAGCAUUAAAAUACACAAAUGAACGUUUGUAAACGAAAUAUUAAGUUAAGCUUAUAAAAUAGCUAAGAUACGUAAAUUUUCAUAAACAGGAAACUGAAUUAACAAAAUUUUAAUUUACUUUUUAAUAAGUAAUAAAUUUAGUGAAUUGAAUCAUCUAACUAACUAAAAAAAAAAUCAAUCGAGAUAUUGUUAUUAGUGGCGAACGAAUACAAUAAAAGACUUAAAAAUUAGUUUAAUUUUGUUUAAUUAACAUUUUAAAGUGUAGCCAUAGAAGGAAGAAUUGUAAGCCCUGUAAAACAUAAAUUAUUUUAAUUUUUUAUUAGUAAAGCGGUAUUAGUCAUGUAGUGUUUGAAUUAUGGGGUCCCAUCCUCAAAGUCUUAAAAUUUUUAAUGUUUGAUAGAAAAAUAGUACCGUGAGGGAAAGAUGAAAAAGAGUCUGUGGAUUUGAAAAAGAACCUGAAAUUUAUUGCUAACAUUCAGUUGAAGCUUAUUAAUAUUAAAGUGACAAUUUACCUCUUGUAUAAGGGACCAACAACUUUAUUUUAAUAGCGAGCUUAAUUAAAAUUAUGUAGGCGAAAAGAAAUUGAAUUUAAAAAUGUUUAUUAGUUAUUUAAAUAAUACCCGAAACUGAAGUGAUCUAGUCAUGAACUGGUUGAAUUUGACGCGGUAACGCUCAUUGAAGGACCGAACCCGUGUAUGUGGCAAAAUACUGGGAUGAUUUGUGAUUUGGAGUGAAAGGCUAAUCAAACUCAGAUAUAGCUGGUUUUCUGCGAAAUCUAUUUAAGUAGAGCGUUUAAAAUAAACUUUAUUUUGGGGUAGAGCUCUCGUUAAAUAAUGGAAAUGAAAAUUUUAUAAAGUUUAAUGAAACUUCGAAUACAAAUUAAAAGAUUUUAAGCAGCCAGACUGUGGGUGCUAAGAUCCAUAGUCAAGAGGGAAACAGCCCAGAUUAUUUGAUAAGGCCUCCAAAAAUAAUUAAGUGCAAAAAUUGUAAAAAAAUUAAAACAACCUGAAGAUAGGCUUGGAAGCAGCCAUUCUUUAAAGAAAGCGUAAUAGCUAACUGGUUUAGAUUUUUUGCAUUAGUAAUGUAAAGAGACUAAAAUUAUUUGCCGAAGCAAUAAAUUUAAAUCUAAAUUUAAAUGGUAGCAGAACAUUUUGUAUAUUUUAGAAGACUUAUAUUUUUAUAGGUUGGAGAAAUCAAAACUGAUAAUGUUGGUAUGAGUAACUAGAAACAGCGUUAAAAUCGUUGUCGCCUUAAAUUCAAGGUUUCCAAAGUAAAGUUAAUCUUCUUUGGUCUAUUUGUUAAUCGGUCUCUAAGAAAAAUACGAAAGUUAGAUUUAAUGAGUUUUAAAGGUAAUUUAUUAGUCCUAUUUUUAAAUAAAGUGACAAAACAGGUAUAUUAUUUUUAUUAACUGGUUUAAAUAAAAGUUUUAAAAUGUUUUCAAGAAAUAGCUUUAUUUAUUUUAAAACCGUACCCUAAACCGACACAGGUGAAUUUAUUUAGUAAAUUAAGGCGUUUGAGAAAACUGUAUUGAAGGAACUCGGCAAAAUGACUCUGUAACAUUUGGAUAAAGAGUAACAUUAAUAUUGGUGAGAACCAUUUAUUGUUGGCACAAAAUCGGGGACAGCGACUGGUUAUUAAAACCACAGGUUUCUGCUAAAUUGUAAAAAGAUGUAUAGAAACUGACGCCUGCCCAGUGCUGUAAGAUUAAUAAAAAGGGUUUUUUAGCUCCCAAAAUAAUUCUCAGUAAACGGCGGCUGUAACUCUGACGGUCCUAAGGUAGCGAAAUUCCUUGGCAUUUAAUUGGUGUCCUGCA